CUUGGGUGCAGGUGUAAGAAUCUUAAGAUAGAAGAAGAUUUUGCAGGAGCAACCAGUAUAAGAUGGGUAGAGUAAAACGUGAGAUGAAGAGAAUAGAGAAUAAAACAAGCAGGCAGGCUGCAUAUAGAAAGAGAAGCAAAGGAUUAGUCAAGAAGGCUGAAGAGUUAGCUAUAUUAUGUGAUGCAAGCGUGGCGCUUAUUGUCUUUGGACCCUCGGGAAAGCUGAUAGAAUUUCCCGACUUCAAGUUGGAGAGAGAAACUAAGAGCCCAUGAAGGUUGAAUAGCUAGUCAGAUCACCGGAUCACCGGUUUCUGUACACGUUCAUAUUUCUGUUUUGUACAAGCUUGGCAUGUUUUUCAUUUGUUUCUCCAGUUAUUUGACGUAUAAUGACGCAGAUGGGACUAAGAAUAAGUCCAAUCCCGCAGCCCACUCAGUUACUCUUAUUUUAGAACCCCACACAAUUUAAAGUUAUGACAACAAAUUACAUAGA